CGCCGCCGGCGCCCUCCAUGGUGAAUCGGUCCCCGCGAUGUCUUCACGGCGGGCGGCCCCCAGGCUCGCUCCGGCCUAAGCGCUGGCUCCCUCCACACGCGGAGAAGAGAAGGAAAGACUACAGUUCAACUGUCAAUUGGUUGAUCACCCGGAUUUUAUCUACACCUUAGCCUAUGGUUGUUCAUCUCGUCUCUGCCUAUGGCCCAUUGACUCCCGGAUCCCAGCUCCAUUCUUCGGUACUUUACGCACCCUGCUUCCAGUACCCCAACCAGAAGAAUAUAUAUAGCAGUUAACUGUCAGCUGGCGAAAAGGAGGAAAAUUCAGGAAGAUAAAAUAGCUGAAUGAAUUAUCCCCGCUCCAGAACGCAGAGGAAAAAUGAAAUGGCCAGACCCAGAUGUUAAAAAUGUGUUCCUUGCUCUUUCCUGCCCUAGCAAGGGCUGUUCCAUGUUUAGGGGAUGAAUGCCGCUGAGAGUAUUAGCAAAAAUACAUGUGUCAUUGAGUCUGAGGAAGAUAACUGAGACAUACAGGUAUUUCUCAUAAUGCAUGUGGGCAUCCAUAGACAUAUUCUUAAAUGGCUUAAGGACUUGGAAACUACCUCUAGGAAACCUGAAACUUGAAUGUUGGUCCACUAGGGAGAAGAAAUGUUCCAUUA